CCAUGUUGGCCAGUCUGAUCUCGAACUCCUGACCUCAAACGAUACACCCGCCUCGGCCUCCCAAAAUGCUGGGAUUACAGGUGUGAGCCACCAUGCCUGGUCCCUGUUAAACUUUCUACCUAGCAACGUAGUUAGUCUUCCCAUCCCACUGUAUAACAGUUUCAGGAUGAUGCUGCCUCUCUAACUUGGAGUGCUGAACAGGAAGUAAGAGUGGGAUUUAAAGCAGUGGUUCUCAACCCUGCCUGUAUAUUAGAAACACCCACAGAACUUUGAAAAAUUACCUAGAGAAACUGCCCCACCUGACAUUUUGAUUCAGUAGCCUCAGGUGUAGUUUAAAAAGCUCCACAGGGGAGCUCUUUGCUUUCGCUGCUGUGGCCGCAGCCAUGAGUAUACUCAGGCUUCAGAAGAGGCUCACCUCUAGUGUCCUCCGCUAUGGCAAGAAGAAGGUCUGGUUAGACCCCAAUGAGACCAAUGAAAUUGCCAAUGCCAACUCCCGUCAGAGGAUCGGAAGCUGAUCAAAGAUGGGCUGAUCAUCCGCAAGCCCGUGAUGGUCAUUCCCAGGCUCCAUGCCGGAAAAACACCUUGUCCCGCCGGAAGUGCAGGCAUAUGGGCAUAGGUAAGCAGAAGGGUACAGCCAGUGCCCGAAUGCCAGAGGAGGUCACGUGGAUGAGGAGAAUGAGGAUUCUGCGCCGGCUGCUCAGAAGAUACCGUGAAUCUAAGAAGAUUGAUUGCCACUUGUAUCACAGCCUGUACCUGAGGGUGAAGGGGAAUGUGUUCAAAAACAAGCGGAUUCUCAUGGAACACAUCCACAAGCUGAAGGCAGACAAGGCCUGUGAGAAACUCCUGGCUGACCAGGCUGAGGCCCACAGGUCUAAGACCAAGGAAGCACGCAAGCGCUGUGAAGAGCACCUACACACCAAGAAGGAGGAGAUCAUCAAGACUUUGUCCAAGGAAGAAGAAACCAAGAAAUAAAAGCCACCCGCCUUGUCUGU